UACAGAGGGUGCGAGCGUUUAAUCGGAAUUACUGGGCGUAAAGCGUGCGUAGACGGCUAUCUAAGUCGGGUGUGAAAGCCCAGGGCUCAACCUUGGAAUUGCAUUUGAGACUGAAUAGCUAGGGUGCGGAAGAGGGAAGCGGAAUUUCCGGUGUAGCGGUGAAAUGCGUAGAUAAUCGGAAGGAACACCAGUGGCGAAAGCGGACUUCCUCGGUCCAGCACCGA
rnacentral:rRNA from 1 species